rnacentral:rRNA from 1 species
CUACGGGUUGCACCAGUGAGGAAUAUUGCACAAUGGGGGGAACCCUGAUGCAGCAACGCCGCGUGGAGGAUGACGCAUUUCGGUGUGUAAACUCCUUUUAUAUGUCAAGAAAAUGACGGUAGCAUAUGAAUAAGCACCGGCUAACUCCGUGCCAGCAGCCGCGGUAAUACGGAGGGUGCAAGCGUUACUCGGAAUCACUGGGCGUAAAGGACGCGUAGGCGGGUUGGAAAGUCAGGUGUGAAAUCCUACAGCUUAACUGUAGAACUGCACUUGAAACUUCUAAUCUAGAGUAUGGGAGGGGGAGAUGGAAUUAGUGGUGUAGGGGUAAAAUCCGUAGAUACCACUAGGAAUACCUAAAGCGAAGGCGAUCUCCUGGAACAUUACUGACGCUAAGGCGUGAAAGCGUGGGGAGCAAACGGGAUUAGAUACCCCCGUAGUC